CCUACGGGAGGCUGCAGUGAGGAAUAUUGGUCAAUGGCCGAGAGGCUGAACCAGCCAAGUCGCGUGAGGGAAGAAUGUCCUAUGGAUUGUAAACUUCUUUUGUCAAGGGACAAAAUCAGGCUCGAGAGCCUGACCGAGGGUACUUGAAGAAAAAGCAUCGGCUAACUCCGUGCCAGCAGCCGCGGUAAUACGGAGGAUGCGAGCGUUAUCCGGAUUUAUUGGGUUUAAAGGGUGCGAAGGCGGACUGUUAAGUCAGCGGUAAAAGCCCGGGGCUCACCCCCGGCGAGCCGUUGAAACUGGCUGUCUUGAGAUGUCGAGAGGUAUGCGGAAUGCGCAGUGUAGCGGUGAAAUGCUUAGAUAUUGCGAAGAACUCCGAUUGCGAAGGCAGCAUACCGGCGGCGAUCUGACGCUGAGGCACGAAAGCGUGGGUAUCGAACAGGAUUAGAUACCCCAGUAGUC
rnacentral:rRNA from 1 species